AUCCUUUUCAGUUCAUAAGUACGAUGAUUGGGUGUUCAUGCUGUAGUGUGAGAUGUGCCUCCUUCUAACCCUUGUUGUGACAUCAGCACAUUACCAGUGUGAU
rnacentral:snoRNA from 1 species